rnacentral:rRNA from 1 species
GAUUAUGGCUCAGGAUGAACGCUAGCGACAGGCCUAACACAUGCAAGUCGAGGGGCAGCACGAAGGAAGCUUGCUUCUUGGUGGCGACCGGCGCACGGGUGCGUAACAGGUGUGUAAUCUGUCCAUAGUCGGGGGAUAGCCCAGCGAAAGCUGAAUUAAUACUCCAUGUGAAUCGAAGCCGCAUGACUUUGAUUUGAAACGUAAGGACUAUGGGUGAGCACGCUUCUGAUUAGGUAGUUGGUGGGGUAACGGCCCACCAAGCCGACGAUCAGUAGGGGUUCUGAGAGGAAGGUCCCCCACAUUGGAACUGAGACACGGUCCAAACUCCUACGGGAGGCAGCAGUGAGGAAUAUUGGUCAAUGGGCGAGAGCCUGAACCAGCCAAGUCGCGUGAAAGGAUGAAGGUUCUAUGGAUUGUAAACUUCUUUUGUCCGAGGGUAAAAAAGGUCACGUGUGACUUCUUGCAAGUAUCGGACGAAUAAGCAUCGGCUAACUCCGUGCCAGCCGCAGC